GAGGGCGCCAUAAGACCUGCUAACUCUUUUACCUGGAAUUAAUUACCAGCUCCCUCU
rnacentral:tRNA from 1 species